CGUACACUCCUGCGGGAGGCAGCAGUGGGGAAUAUUGCACAAUGGGCGCAAGCCUGAUGCAGCGACGCCGCGUGGGGGAUGAAGGCCUUCGGGUUGUAAACUCCUUUCGCUAGGGACGAAGCUUUUUUGUGACGGUACCUAGAUAAGAAGCACCGGCUAACUACGUGCCAGCAGCCGCGGUAAUACGUAGGGUGCGAGCGUUGUCCGGAAUUACUGGGCGUAAAGGGCUCGUAGGUGGUUUGUCGCGUCGUCUGUGAAAUUCUGGGGCUUAACUCCGGGCGUGCAGGCGAUACGGGCAUAACUUGAGUGCUGUAGGGGUAACUGGAAUUCCUGGUGUAGCGGUGAAAUGCGCAGAUAUCAGGAGGAACACCGAUGGCGAAGGCAGGUUACUGGGCAGUUACUGACGCUGAGGAGCGAAAGCAUGGGUAGCGAACAGGAUUAGAUACCCUAGUAGUCCCA
rnacentral:rRNA from 1 species